UGUGUUUAGAUAAAUGAGGAGAGAUCAAGAGAUGUGGGGCAAGAGAGUGAAAAGCUCAGACAGUCAGCAAGUUUCCUCCCAGCAUUCUCAGGAAGCCAGAGGGGAGGCAAGGUGCUGCUUGGUCAAUGUUUCUCUUCACUAGAAAGACUUCCUGUUUUUGAGGGGGAGGACAGAGUUUGAGCACUGACGUAUGUAUGUAGAAAAAUCACUACUCAAAAGAAGUAAGAAGGACCAAGGGACCCAUUCAGACAAUAGACCAGUCCAGUCAACAUUCAGGAGAAACUCCCCUGGCACAGAACACUGAGCGAAAAAAGGCCAAAGGAAGAAGACUCCCUUAAUUAUGGACUCGGAGAGGAGCUAAUUGUCUCCUUUGGGUCCAGGCUGCGGUCGGAUUGGUCUGAUUGGUUCCCUUUGGUCCAGAAGGUGGUCUUAUUGGUUCCUUUGGGUCCAGGCUGACGCUAUGGUCAGGUGGCCAGACGUGAUGCCAGGAUUCACUCCUCACAUUGUUCCUCUCAGGGACUCAAGCCUUCCGGUGGUAUAUAUGAGUCAGCUGCUCUGCUGUGGACAGGGCAAUUGGCUAGUACACUACAUGAAUACACUACAUGACCAAAAGUAUGUGGACACUUGCUAGUCGAACAUCAUAUUCAAAAAUGGGGAUUAACAUGGAGUUGGUCCCCCCUUUGCUGCUACAACAGCCUCUUCUUUGCUGGGAAGGCUUUCCACUAGAUGUUGGAACAUU